GUUUUUUCAUCGUAGAACUUACAGUGGAAAGAAUGUAGAACUUCCUAUUUUGUUCCUUGACACACUGAGUAAGAGCUACCAUGGUAAUGACUUAGUGGUAGUCUCUGGAAUUGUUCCCCACUCCAACACAUGCUGACAUGCUUUCUCCAUGCCAUUACUGCAAAGAUUAAGAUUAAAGUUUAAGAUUAAGGAAAUAAAAGUCACCAAAGAUGUGAAGAAUGUACAAUCUCUAAAUGUCCCAGGAAAUAAGUGCCCAUCUGUCAUCCCAGGAGAUUACUGCAUUGUGAACAGUGUUCUUUUUCAGCUGCCUUCCAAGAGUAUUUGCAGUUUCAACGAACAAUGUGUGUGUAAAGCUAAGAAGAGGAUUGGGAAUAGUAGGAAGAGACCCUGCUCCAUCUUAUUACCUAUGCUAUUUACAAAUAUUGGUUUGGUAUUGGAAAGGAGCAGGGGUAAAGCAUUCCAAGAAGAACAGCAGUGA
rnacentral:lncRNA from 1 species